AUCUAUGUCCAUACUACCCUGAACAUGUCAGAUCUCAUCUGAUUUCAGAAGCUAAGCAGGAUUUGACUUGGUAAAUAUUUGGAUGGGAGAAAAAUUCCAAGCCAUAUGAGAC
rfam:Erinaceus europaeus unplaced genomic scaffold scaffold00918, whole genome shotgun sequence